AGACCAGGUCACGUCUCUG
rnacentral:miRNA from 1 species